rnacentral:rRNA from 1 species
GACAGAGGGUGCAAACGUUGUUCGGAAUUACUGGGCGUAAAGCGUGUGUAGGCGGCUAGGUAAGUCGGAUGUGAAAGCCCCGGGCUCAACUCGGGAAGUGCACUCGAUACUGCUUAGCUAGAGUACCGGAGAGGUUGGUGGAAUUCUCGGGUGUAGAGGUGAAAUGCGUAGAGAUCCGGAGGAACACCAAAGGCGAAGGCAGUGUCCUGGGGAGUACCUGACGCUCAGGUGCGAAAGCCAGGGGAGCGAACGGG